AUUGAACGCUGGCGGCAUGCUUUACACAUGCAAGUCGAACGGUAGAGGGGGCAACCCCUUGAGAGUAGCGAACGGGUGAGUAAUGCAUCGGAACGUGCCCAGUCGUGGGGGAUAACGCAGCGAAAGCUGUGCUAAUACCGCAUACGAUCUCUGGAUGAAAGCGGGGGACCGAAAGGCCUCGCGCGAUUGGAGCGGCCGAUGUCAGAUUAGGUAGUUGGUGGGGUAAAGGCUCACCAAGCCAACGAUCUGUAGCUGGUCUGAGAGGACGACCAGCCACACUGGGACUGAGACACGGCCCAGACUCCUACGGGAGGCAGCAGUGGGGAAUUUUGGACAAUGGGCGCAAGCCUGAUCCAGCAAUGCCGCGUGCAGGAAGAAGGCCUUCGGGUUGUAAACUGCUUUUGUACGGAACGAAAAGGUCUGGGUUAAUACCCUGGUCACAUGACGGUACCGUAAGAAUAAGCACCGGCUAACUACGUGCCAGCAGCCGCCGUAA
rnacentral:rRNA from 1 species